UCGUUCCUACGGGACGCAGCAGUAGGGAAUCUUCCACAAUGGACGAAAGUCUGAUGGAGCAACGCCGCGCGAGUGAAGAAGGGUUUCGGCUCGUAAAGCUCUGUUGGGAGUGAAGAAAGAUAGAGGUAGUAACUGGCCUUUAUUUGACGGUAAUUACUUAGAAAGUCACGGCUAACUACGUGCCAGCAGCCGCGGUAAUACGUAGGUGGCAAGCGUUGUCCGGGUUUAUUGGGCGUAAA
rnacentral:rRNA from 1 species